GACGAACGCUGGCGGCGUGCUUAACACAUGCAAGUCGAACGGAAAGGCCCUGCUUUUGUGGGGUGCUCGAGUGGCGAACGGGUGAGUAACACGUGAGUAACCUGCCCUUGACUUUGGGAUAACUUCAGGAAACUGGGGCUAAUACCGGAUAGGAGCUCCUGCUGCAUGGUGGGGGUUGGAAAGUUUCGGCGGUUGGGGAUGGACUCGCGGCUUAUCAGCUUGUUGGUGGGGUAGUGGCUUACCAAGGCUUUGAAGGGUAGCCGGCCUGAGAGGGUGGCCGGCCACAUUGGGACUGCGAUACGGACCAGACUCCUACGGGAGGCAGCAGUGGGGAAUAUUGCACAAUGGGCGGAAGCCUGAUGCAGCAACGCCGCGUGCGGGAUGACGGCCUUCGGGUUGUAAACCGCUUUCGCCUGUGACGAAGCGUGAGUGACGGUAAUGGGUAAAGAAGCACCGGCUAACUACGUG
rnacentral:rRNA from 1 species